UAGGGAAUCUUCGGCAAUGGACGAAAGUCUGACCGAGCAACGCCGCGUGAGUGAAGAAGGUUUUUGGAUCGUAAAACUCUGUUGUUAGAGAAGAACAAGGACGUUAGUAACUGAACGUCCCCUGACGGUAUCUAACCAGAAAGCCACGGCUAACUACGUGCCAGCAGCCGCGGUAAUACGUAGGUGGCAAGCGUUGUCCGGAUUUAUUGGGCGUAAAGCGAGCGCAGGCGGUUUCUUAAGUCUGAUGUGAAAGCCCCCGGCUCAACCGGGGAGGGUCAUUGGAAACUGGGAGACUUGAGUGCAGAAGAGGAGGGUGGAAUUCCAUGUGUAGCGGUGAAAUGCGUAGAUAUAUGGAGGAACACCGGUGGCGAAGGCGGCUCUCUGGUCUGUAACUGACGCUGAGGCUCGAAAGCGUGGGGAGAAAACAGG
rnacentral:rRNA from 1 species